rnacentral:rRNA from 1 species
CCUGACGACCAUAGCGAGCGUGAACCACCUGAUCCCAUGCCGAACUCAGCAGCCAUCGGCUGGGUUUUUUGUUUUUCUAUGUGUCGUUUUAU